rnacentral:rRNA from 1 species
AUUGAACGCUGGCGGCAUGCCUUACACAUGCAAGUCGAACGGUAACAGGUCUUCGGAUGCUGACGAGUGGCGAACGGGUGAGUAAUACAUCGGAACGUGCCCAGACGUGGGGGAUAACGAGGCGAAAGCUUUGCUAAUACCGCAUACGAUCUAAGGAUGAAAGCAGGGGACCGCAAGGCCUUGCGCGUUUGGGGCGGCCGAUGGCAGAUUAGGUAGUUGGUGGGAUAAAAGCUUACCAAGCCGACGAUCUGUAGCUGGUCUGAGAGGACGACCAGCCACACUGGGACUGAGACACGGCCCAGACUCCUACGGGAGGCAGCAGUGGGGAAUUUUGGACAAUGGGCGAAAGCCUGAUCCAGCAAUGCCGCGUGCAGGAUGAAGGCCUUCGGGUUGUAAACUGCUUUUGUACGGAACGAAAAGGCUCUGGCUAAUACCUGGGGCACAUGACGGUACCGUAAGAAUAAGCACCGGCUAACUACGUG